UACAGAGGUCUCAAGCGUUGUUCGGAUUCAUUGGGCGUAAAGGGUGCGUAGGCGGCGCGGUAAGUCGGGUGUGAAAUCUUGGAGCUUAACUCCGAAACUGCAUUCGAUACUGCCGUGCUUGAGGACUGGAGAGGAGACUGGAAUCUACGGUGUAGCGGUGAAAUGCGUAGAUAUCGUAAGGAAGACCAGUGGCGAAGGCGGGUCUCUGGACAGUUCCUGACGCUGAGGCACGAAGGCCAGGGGAGCAAACGGG
rnacentral:rRNA from 1 species